rnacentral:rRNA from 1 species
UACGAGGGGGGCAAAUGUUGUUCGGAAUCAUUGGGCGUAAAGGGCGCGUAGGCGGGUUUUUAAGUUAGUUGUUUAAUCCCGGGGCCCAACCCCGGACAGGCACCUAAAACUGGAAGUCUUGAAUAGUGGAGAGGACGGCGGAAUUGGGGGUGUAGCGGUGGAAUGCGUAGAGAUCCCCAAGAACACCAGUUGCGAAGGCGGCCGUCUGGACACAUAUUGACGCUGAGGCUCGAAAGCAUGGGGAGCAAACAGG